rnacentral:lncRNA from 1 species
UCAUCUUCAGUAUCCGUGAAAGCAUAAAGUUCAUAAAAGCCUCUGAUAGUUACGACCAAAAGUUUACUGAGAUAGCUCUGCAGCUGGAGAUCCCUAGUACAAAGAUCCUUUGUCUGGAUGUUACAACCCAGUGGGACACCACCUACCUGAUGCUCUUGGCUGCCUUGGAUUUUAGGCAGGUUUUCACUAUACUAGAAACAUGUGAUGAUAACUAUAACGAAGCACCUUCAGCCGAGGACUGGAAAAAGGUUGAGGCCGCAAGCAAUUGUUUGAAGCUGCUGUAUGACUCGGCUCAUAGUGUCAUGGCAGUAGCAAACCCAACUUCAGACAUCUUUUUCCAUGAAGCCUGGAAACUUCAGCUAGAGCUGGCAAAUGCCGCAGCACAUGAAGACCUAGUUGUCAGCAGCACUGCUAGAGAUAUGCAUGAGAGUUUUGACAAGUACUGGAAAGAUUGCAACCUCGUGUUAGCCGUCGCUGUUGUGAUGGAUCCACGUUUUAAGAUGAAGCUUGUUGAGUUCAGCUACUCGAAAAUUUACGGCGUUGAGGCAGCGAAGUAUGUUAAGGUGGUGAACGAUUCAUUGCAUGAGCUUUAUAAGGAGUAUUUAGCACAGCCACUGCCCGCAAGGCCGGUCUAUGUCGGACAAUCUGCCAGUGGGAAUAAUAAUACUCAAACAACUCCACCUUCCAUUGGUGAUGGUCUUCUAGACUUUGAUAUGUAUCUCUCUGAGAUUGCUACAGCCCAGCCCUCAAAAUCUGAACUGGAGCAGUACCUGGAAGAGCCUCUGACGCCACGUAGUAUCCAAGAGUUUGACAUUCUGAGCUGGUGGAAGCUUAACACGCUCAGGUUUCCAACACUCUCGAAGAUGGCACGUGAUGUCUUGGCUAUUCCAAUGACCAUGGUUAGCUCUAUAUUUUCUGCAGAAACAGGAAUCCGCACUCUCGAUGACUAUAGAAGCUCGCUUCGUCCUGAAAUUGUGGAGGCGCUCGUUUGCGCCAAGGACUGGCUUCUGCAUUCACCACCUGCCUCGCAGACACAGAGCCGUGAAAUGCAGUAGGCCCUGUUGAAGCAUGCAUUCAUUGUAUGAUCUCGUAAGUAACUGUAGGCUUAUUUCAGGGAGAGUUUGUGAAUUGGUUGGUGGCCUCUUUCAGCAAUUCUGUCCCCUAGCUAGUAGUGGAACAUAACUAGCGGCGCUAUUCUGUGGACAUGAGAAUUUGUUGUUUUCGUGUGCUUUGCAACAUUUGUUUCUACAUGGUUAUUUUUAGUGGGUUUCUGCGUUUUAUCUCGAGAUGCAUAUACUUAUCUGGAAAUAUCCGUAGAAUAUUUUCCAUUGAAUAUGAAGCUCUAUGUCUCUGCAAUGACCGGUAUAUACGGGCUUAUUAGUUUCUUG